GGGUGGUGUUUUAAUAGAGCAUUACAUUGACGUUAGUCACAGAAGAAGCACCGGCUAACUCCGUGCCAGCAGCCGCGGUAAUACGGAGGGUGCGAGCGUUAAUCGGAAUGACUGGGCGUAAAGGGCACGCAGGCGGUGACUUAAGUGAGAUGUGAAAGCCCCGAGCUUAACUUGGGAAUUGCAUUUCAUACUGGGUGGCUAGAGUAUUUUAGGGAGGGGUAGAAUUCCACGUGUAGCGGUGAAAUGCGUAGAGAUGUGGAGGAAUACCGAAGGCGAAGGCAGCCCCUUGGGAAAAUACUGACGCUCAUGUGCGAAAGCGUCCCGUAGCUAACGUGAUAAAUCGACCGCCUGGGGAGUACGGCCGCAAGGUUAAAACUCAAAUGAAUUGACGGGGGCCCGCACAAGCGGUGGAGCAUGUGGUUUAAUUCGAUGCAACGCGAAGAACCUUACCUACUCUUGACAUCCUAAGAAGCUUUCAGAGAUGAGAGUGUGCCUUCGGGAACUUAGAGACAGGUGCUGCAUGGCUGUCGUCAGCUCGUGUUGUGAAAUGUUGGGUUAAGUCCCGCAACGAGCGCAACCCUUAUCCUUUGUUGCCAGCGAUUCGGUCGGGAACUCAAAGGAGACUGCCAGUGAUAAACUGGAGGAAGGUGGGGAUGACGUCAAGUCAUCAUGGCCCUUACGAGUAGGGCUACACACGUGCUACAAUGGUGCAUACAGAGGGUGACGAAGCCAAUC
rnacentral:rRNA from 1 species